AUUUAGGUUCUAACCAACUUACCUUCAUCAGCAAAGAAUUGUUUUCUGGCCUCCGUAAUUUGACUUUAUUAUCUUUAUGGAAUAACAAAAUAAAAUCAGUUGAAGACGAUUCGUUUUCCCAUCUCAUUGCCUUGACGGAACUGGAUCUUACAGAAAAUCCUUUAACUGAGAUUGGGGCUAAAGCUUUUGUGGCUUCCUGGUACCCUCAUGGCAUGUAAUU